rnacentral:ncRNA from 1 species
CCGGUCGAGGGGCGCUGCAGCAGAUCCGCAUCACGCGGUUUUGUCAGGCUCGCCCGGGGCGUUAUCCAAACGCAUCAACGGCGCCCAUUCGCA